UGGGGAAUAUUGCACAAUGGGCGCAAGCCUGAUGCAGCCAUGCCGCGUGUGUGAAGAAGGCCUUCGGGUUGUAAAGCACUUUCAGCGGGGAGGAAGGCGAUGAGGUUAAUAACCUUGGCAAUUGACGUUACCGACAGAAGAAGCACCGGCUAACUCCGUGCCAGCAGCCGCGGUAAUACGGAGGGUGCAAGCGUUAAUCGGAAUUACUGGGCGUAAAGCGCACGCAGGCGGUUGAUUGAGUCAGAUGUGAAAUCCCCGGGCUUAACCCGGGAAUUGCAUCUGAUACUGGUCAGCUAGAGUCUUGUAGAGGGGGGUAGAAUUCCAUGUGUAGCGGUGAAAUGCGUAGAGAUGUGGAGGAAUACCGGUGGCGAAGGCGGCCCCCUGGACGAAGACUGACGCUCAGGUGCGAAAGCGUGGGGAGCAAACAGG
rnacentral:rRNA from 1 species